GUGCCUUUUGCAUAAUGAUCCUACGAGUUACCGUCACUGGCGAGGUUGAGUGUCACGAGACACGUAUCCGCAGUGAAAGCGAGCCUGAACAGGGCGCACAGUCAGUGGGGGUAGACGCGAAACCAAGUGAUCUACACUUGGCCAGGAUGAAGUCCCGGUAACACGGGAUGGAGGUCCGCACCAAUAAGCGUUGAAAAGCUUCUGGAUGAGCCGAGUGUAGGAGUGAAAGGCCAAUCAAACUUGGAGAUAGCUCGUACUCCCCGAAAGGCAUUUAGGUGCCGCGUCGGAUGGUCACCGUGAGAGGUAGAGCGACCGAUAGGACAAGAGGGCUUCACCGCCUAUCGAGUCCUGACGAACUCCGAAUGCUCACGGUCUGCAGUCCGGCAGUAAGGGGGCGGGUGCUAAGGUCCGUCCCCGAGAGGAGAAGAAUCCAGACCGCCGUCUAAGGUCCCGGAGUUCUGCCUGAGUUAGUCUAACGAAGUCUGGUCCCUAUGACAGCUAGGAUGUUGGCUUGGAAGCAGCCAUUCAUUCAAAGAGUGCGUAACAGCUCACUAGUCGAGGGUCCGGGCAUGGAUAAUAAUCGGGUAUAAGGCAGACACCGAAGGCGCGGGAUAGCAAUUAUAAAAGUAUCGGUAGGGGAGCAUACUCACAGCGUCGAAUGGUGUACGUAAGUUAUCCUGGAGCGGUGAGUAAAGCAAAUGUAGGAAUAAGUAACGAUAAGGAGGGUUAGAUUCCCUCCCGCUGUAAGACCAAGGUUUCCCGGGCAAUGCCAAUCAGCCCGGGGUCAGUCGGGUCCUAAGUCUAAGCCGAACGGCGAUGGCGAUGGCAGAGACGGUUAAUAUUCCGUCACUGCCGCAUGGGGCGACGUGGAGACGGAGCAGUGAAACCACCGCGGGGCGACGGAAGUCCCCGUUGAAGAGUGUAGGCGUUGAGGAUGGCAGGCAAAUCCACCGUCCGAGCUGAACUUGACAGUACGGAGUCCUCCUCGGAGGAAUCUGAUAGUGUGGGUAAUCAUACUCCCGAGAAAAUCCGCUAAGCUUAACCCAUGCGGCACCCGUACCGCAAACGGACACACGUGGUCGGGUAGAACAUACUAAGGCGUUGAGAGAUUCAUGGUUAAGGAACUAGGCAAAUUGACCCUGUAACUUCGGGAUAAAGGGUCCUCGUGAUGAGCGAGGCGCAGAGAAUAGGUCCAGGCAACUGUUUAACAAAAACACAGGGCUGUGCAAACUCGAAAGAUGACGUAUACAGCCUGACACCUGCCCGGUGCCGGAAGGUUAAGAGGAGAUGUCACUCGCAAGAGGAAGCAUUGAAUUGAAGCCCCGGUAAACGGCGGCCGUAACUAUAACGGUCCUAAGGUAGCGAAAUUCCUUGUCGGGU
rnacentral:rRNA from 1 species